rnacentral:rRNA from 1 species
GAUGAACGCUGGCGGCGUGCUUAACACAUGCAAGUCGAACGAAGCAUUUAGAACAGAUUACUUCGGUUUGAAGUUCUUUAUGACUGAGUGGCGGACGGGUGAGUAACGCGUGGGUAACCUGCCUUGUACUGGGGGAUAGCAGCUGGAAACGGCUGGUAAUACCGCAUAAGCGCACAAUGUUGCAUGACAUGGUGUGAAAAACUCCGGUGGUAUAAGAUGGACCCGCGUCUGAUUAGCUAGUUGGUGAGAUAACAGCCCACCAAGGCGACGAUCAGUAGCCGACCUGAGAGGGUGACCGGCCACAGUGGGACUGAGACACGGCCCAGAAUCCUACGGGAGGCAGCAGUGGGGAAUAUUGCACAAUGGAGGAAACUCUGAUGCAGCGACGCCGCAUGAGUGAAGAAGUAAUUCGUUAUGUAAAGCUCUAUCAGCAGGGAAGAUAGUGACGGUACCUGACUAAGAAGCUCCGGCUAAAUACGUG